AUGUGCUAUGGCGUGUACUUCGCCGCCAAGAAGCUGAAUCCCUACUUCCAAGAGCACCCCAUCACGGUCAUAUGCACCGCCCCGCUUGCCGAGAUCAUAGGCAGUCGGGAUGCAUCCGGCCGGGUGGCGAAAUGGGCCAUCGAGCUGGCCCCCUACAUGAUCUUCUACCAGCCUCGCACCGCCAUCAAGUCCCAAGCAUUGGCCGACUUCCUCGUCGACUGGGUCGAGACCCAGUACCUACCGCCAGCUCCCGACUCCACUCAUUGGUGCAUGCACUUCGAUGGGUCCAAGAUGCGCACCGGCUUGGGAGUCGGCGUCAUCCUCACCUCUCCCAAAGGCGACAAGCUCAGAUACACGCUGCAAAUUCACUUUGCCGCCUCCAACAAUGUGGCCAAGUACGAGGCGCUCAUACAUGGGCUCCGGCUUGCCAAAGAGCUCGGCAUACGCCGGAUCCUAUGUUACGGUGACUCGGACUUGGUAGUCCAGCAAUCAUCCGGCGACUGGGACGCCAAGGACGCAAAUAUGGCAAGCUACCGCUUCCUCGUUCAGCAGAUCAGCGGGUACUUUGAAGGAUGCGAGUUCCUCCACGUACCGCGAGCCGGCAACGAGCCAGCUGAUACCCUGGCUCGAAUAGGCUCCACUCGGCAGGCAAUACCAACCGGUGUCUCUUUGCAACCCCUCCUCAAGCCAUCUAUCAAGCCAUCUCCAGAGUCUGAUUCCAUCUUCGUGCCGCGUGAACCCGACGCGGCCGGGUCUGGCUCGAAGAACCAAGCAGGUGACUCGGGGACUUUGAUAGUCGGCCCGGGGACGUCAGUAGGCGGCUCGGGGACUUUCGUAGUUACGCCCGACCCGGGGACUGCCACACCCGGCUCGAGGACUGAGAUAGUCGGCCCGGGGAUUGCACCAACACAACAGGCAGCGGUCGACUCCAGCAUUUCACCACCCAGCCCGCCCGCCCUGGUCGCAGUAGCUGUGUUGGCAAUAGAAGAAGUCGCAACUCCAUCACGGGCUCAGUCCAUCCUCAACUUCCUAAUAAACCAAGAUCUGCCGGCUGACGAAACAGAGGCAAGACAAGUCCAACACCGAGCCGGAGCAUACACAAUCGCCAACGGAGAGCUCGUCAGGCGCAGUGUCACUGGAGUCUUCCAGCGAUGCGUCGAGCAAGAGAAGGGCAUUGCAAUCCUUAGAGACAUCCACCAAGGAGAAUGCGGCCACCAUGCGGCCUCAAGAUCACUCAUUGCCAAAGCUUUCCGCCAUGGGUUCUUUUGGCCGACUGCUUUGGAUGACGCCAAGGAGUUAGUUAAACAUUGCAAAGGGUGCCAAGUCUUCAGCUCCAAGCAACACAUGCCGGCUUCAACACUCAAGACCAUUCCCCUCACUUGGCCCUUUGCCAUUUGGGGACUGGACAUGGUGGGCCCAUUCAAGACGGCGCGCGGCGGCAUGACACAUCUGCUUGUCGCCGUGGACAAAUUCACCAAAUGGAUUGAGGCAAAGCUGAUCAAGAAGCUGAAUGGGCCGACUGCCGUGACAUUCAUCGCAGAUAUAUCAACUCGCUACGGCGUGCCACACAGCAUCAUCACCGACAACGGCAUGAAUUUCGCCAAGGGAGCAUUGGCAUGUUUCUGCGCGACGCAGGGCAUCCAGUUGGACUUAGCGUCCGUUGCCCACCCGCAGUCAAACGGCCAAGUCGAGCGAGCCAACGGCCUCAUCCUUUCCAGCAUCAAGCCCCGACGGGUCGUACCACUGGAACGUUCGGCCGGCUGUUGGCUCGAUGAGCUGCCGUCCGUCCUCUGGAGUCUGCGCACUACCCCAAACAAGUCAACCGGCUUCACUCCUUUCUUCCUCGUGUAUGGUGCCGAGGCGGUCAUCCCAACUGACAUCGAGUUCGACUCGCCUCGAGUAACCAUGUACGCAGAGGCGGAGGCCAAGGAAGCACGAGAAGAUGGCGUCGACCUGCUGGAAGAAGGCUGGCUGUUAGCCCUCAGCCGGUCCGCCAUCUACCAGCAGGGCUUGCGCCGCUACCAUAGCCGGAAGGUCAGACCAAGAUUUUUCCAAGAAGGCGAUCUCGUGCUCCGGCUGAUCCAGCGAACAGCCGGCCAGCACAAGCUCUCGGCCCCUUGGGAAGGCCCCUUUGUCAUCAGCAGAGCGCUGGGAAAUGACUCCUACUACCUGAUCGAUGCACAGAAGCCGAAGGGACGAAAGAGAGACCACUCCGGCAAGGAGUCGGAACGACCAUGGAACGCCAACCUCCUCCGAAGAUUUUACAGUUGA
rnacentral:rRNA from 1 species